CAAUGGGGGAAACCCUGNAUGCAGCGACGCCGCGUGGAGGAAGAAGGUCUUCCGAUUGUAAACUCCUGUUGUUGAGGAAGAUAAUGACGGUACUCAACAAGGAAGUGACGGCUAACUACGUGCCAGCAGCCGCGGUAAAACGUAGGUCACAAGCGUUGUCCGGAAUUACUGGGUGUAAAGGGAGCGCAGGCGGGAGAACAAGUUGGAAGUGAAAUCCAUGGGCUCAACCCAUGAACUGCUUUCAAAACUGUUUUUCUUGAGUAGUGCAGAGGUAGGCGGAAUUCCCGGUGUAGCGGUGGAAUGCGUAGAUAUCGGGAGGAACACCAGUGGCGAAGGCGGCCUACUGGGCACCAACUGACGCUGAGGCUCGAAAGUGUGGGUAGCAAACAGGAUUAGAUACCCUGGUAGUCCAAGGGCGAAUUC
rnacentral:rRNA from 1 species